rnacentral:rRNA from 1 species
CUUGAAACACGGACCAAGGAGUCUACCGUCUCUGCGAGUCUGCCCGUGUGAUACGCGGACAAGGCGCAGUGAAAGCAAGGGCCCCUGGGUGCAGGGGCUGUGGUGGGAACUCUCUGUGGGGAGGGCACCAUCGACCGAUCGCAAGAUGCAUGAAAAUACAUCGUGAUUUGAGUAGGAGCAGAGACGGUGGGACCCGAAAGAUGGUGAUCUAAGCCUGGACAGGGCGAAGCCAGGGGAAACUCUGGUGGAGGCUCGCAGCGAUACUGACGUGCAAUUCGUUCGUCGGAUCUGGGUUUAGGGGCGAAAGACUAAUCGAACCAUC